AGUGAAAUUGCUGGAUUAUAUGGUAACUAUGUUUAACUUUUGAGGAACUGCCAAACUGCUUUCCACAACAGCUGUACCAUUUUACAUUCCCACCAGCAAU
rnacentral:pre_miRNA from 1 species